rnacentral:misc_RNA from 1 species
GAUGAAGAACGCAGCGAAAUGCGAUAAGUAAUGUGAAUUGCAGAAUUCAGUGAAUCAUCGAAUCUUUGAACGCACAUUGCGCCCCUUGGUAUUCCGAGGGGCAUGCCUGUUCGAGCGUCAUUACAACCCCUCAAGCUCUGCUUGGUGUUGGGGCCUGCCGCACCGGCAGCCCUUAAAAUCAGUGGCGGCGCCAUCUGGCUCUGAGCGUAGUAAUUCUUCUCGCUAUGGAGUCCUGGUGGAUGCUUGCCAUCAACCCCCAAUUUUUCUAUGGUUGACCUCGGAUCAGGUAGGGAUACCCGCUGAACUUAAGCAUAUCAAUAAGCGGAGGA